rnacentral:rRNA from 1 species
GACGAACGCUGGCGGCGUGCCUAAUACAUGCAAGUCGAGCGAAGCUUUCCUGUUUCUUGCACCGGUAAUAAUUAGCGGCGAACGGGGGAGUAACACGGAAAGAACCUGCCCAAUACCCGGGGACAACUUGUGGAAAUGAUUGCUAAGACCGGAUAAUAGCAUUACCUGUAGGGUGGAUGUUUAAAAGUUGGUUUUGCUAACACUAUGAGAUGGCUUUGCGGUGCAUUAGUUAGUUGGUGGGGUAAAGGCUUACCAAGCCGACGAUGCAUAGCCGCCCUGAGAGGGUGAUCGGCCACCCUACGACGAAGGCGCGGCCCAGACUCCUACGGGAGGCAGCAGUAGGGAAUCUUCCGCAAUGAGCGAAAGCAUGACGGAGCAACGCCGCGGGAGUGGAGAAGGAUUUCGGUUCGUAAAGAUCUGUUGUUAGGGAAGAAGGAUUGUGUACUGAGUAUACACAGUGGAGACGGUACCUAAUCAGAAAGCCACGGCUAACUACGUG